AUGGACCCCGCGUCCACUGCGGUUGUGAGCGCGCCGUCCGCGCACCCCUGACAGCGGCUCGCUCCGUUUCGUCAGCC
rnacentral:sRNA from 1 species